ensembl:miRNA
ACCAUGCUGUAGUGUGUGUAAACAUCCUACACUCUCAGCUGUGAGCUCAAGGUGGCUGGGAGAGGGUUGUUUACUCCUUCUGCCAUGGA